rnacentral:rRNA from 1 species
UACAGAGGUCUCAAGCGUUGUUCGGAUUCAUUGGGCGUAAAGGGUGUGCAGGCGGGGCUGUAAGUGGGGUAUGAAAUCUCCAGGCUUAACCUGGAGGGGUUAUGCCAGACUGCAGUUCUAGAGGGCGAGAGAGGGGGGUGGAAUUCCGGGUGUAGUGGUGAAAUGCGUAGAGAUCCGGAGGAACCCCAGAGGCGAAGGCAGCCCCCUGGCUCGUACCUGACGCUCAGCCACGAAAGCAUGGGGAGCGAACGGG